GCAAAUGCAAAUUUAUGCUUAUGAUUGGUCCAGGCGCACAACCUUCGGAAAAAGCAUUUGUAUCUGUAUAUAAUGGGAUUCCAAGGUCGCAGCAUUACAUGAACUAACCAUAGCCAAGCCAAGGAAGAUGGCGUUAGCAAUGCUAAGAUGGCGCAGGCAUGCACCAAUUGAUAGUUGCUCCUCCUCUAGCAUGGCCGCAUCCAGAUCAAGGCCCCCAAGGAAUUCUGACUUGCGCCAGCGCCUUAGGUGGAGGCUGUGAUUCCUGAUUAUGGUUAGCCUGGAUUUCAUCCGGAUGUGCUAGCACUCGUUGCGCGCAGAGCCGACGGGCAAGAGUCGACGCACGCGAGCUAGCCAGAGGGUUGACAGGAAGACAUAUCCCAGCAAGAAAACAAGACCAUGGCGUCGAAGCAGACAACGAGGAGGCGGAGGAGGUUGCGCUUGCACGGCGUCGAGGGAGACAGCGAGGAGGCGGAGGAGGUCGAUGGAGAUAGCGAGCAGGCGGAGGAUGAGUCUCCGAUGGGAGGUUGAGCGCCCGGAGGCCGGGCCGCCAUGGCUACCACGACCGAGUAGAAUUUGUCGAUUUGGGCAUCGAAGUGAGGAGAUGGAAACGAGGAAAUUGACAAAGAGGAUAAGGAUGGAUUGUCCGGCAGCAACGAAUCCAAUCGGACGGUUCGGACCACCGUGCGCUCGCUAGAGUCGAAUAGUGCAGCUGCACGUAUUAGCAACCGGGUUUUCUUUUUCUUUUUCCUUUCCAUUCCCUUCUUCGUCCCGUGCGCCCGAGCCACCUCCGGUUUCUUCUUCUGUUCUUCCUUUUCUCCUCAAAUGCCUCGAUUUCCAGCCCAAAUUAGUGCAGUUUGAUCCCAUUUUAUCCACAAAAUCGCAUCCCCUAUCUAGUUGGCACCCAAAGACAUCUCGAUCUACUGUUUUCAUAGGACAUGUAGAGCUAAUUUUGUGGUGCUAAGUUUGAGCAAUGGCGGUGGUUUGGAGUAGUUUUGUGGUGGUGU
rnacentral:lncRNA from 1 species